rnacentral:rRNA from 1 species
GGUAUCCUACGGGGGGCAGCAGUGGGGAAUAUUGCACAAUGGGGGAAACCCUGAUGCAGCAACGCCGCGUGAGUGAAGAAGUAUUUCGGUAUGUAAAGCUCUAUCAGCAGGGAAGAAAAUGACGGUACCUGAGUAAGAAGCCCCGGCUAACUACGUGCCAGCAGCCGCGGUAAUACGUAGGGGGCAAGCGUUAUCCGGAUUUACUGGGUGUAAAGGGAGCGUAGACGGCGGUGCAAGUCUGAAGUGAAAGCCCGGGGCUCAACCCCGGAACUGCUUUGGAAACUGUAUGGCUGGCGUUCUGGAGG